rnacentral:rRNA from 1 species
GAUGAACGCUAGCUCCAGGCUUAACACAUGCAAGUCGAGGGACCGGCGCACGGGUGAGUAACACGUAUCCAACCUGCCCUUUACUCGGGGAUAGCCUUUCGAAAGAAAGAUUAAUACCCGAUAUAAAGGAUGGGGAUGCGUUCCAUUAGGUUGUUGGUGAGGUAACGGCUAACCAAGCCUUCGAUGGAUAGGGGUUCUGAGAGGAAGGUCACCCACGUUGGAACUGAGACACGGCCCAAACGUGUACGGGAGGCAGCAGAGAGGAAGAGUUGUCAAUGGGCCCUAGUCUGAACCGGCCAAGUAGCGUGAAGGAUGAAGGGUUAUGGAGCGUAAUUUUCUUUGAUAAAAGAAUAUGUAUUAGAUGAAUAAGGAUCGGCUAACUCCGUGCCAGCAGCCGCGGUAAUAC